GCUGGCGUAGCUCAGCUGGUAGAGCAACUGACUUGUAAUCAGUAGGUCGGGGGUUCGAAGCCUCUCGCCAGCU
rnacentral:tRNA from 1 species